rnacentral:rRNA from 1 species
CCUACGGGAGGCAGCAGUGGGGAAUAUUGGACAAUGGGGGGAACUCUGAUCCAGCGACGCCGCGUGAGUGAAGAAGGAUUUCGGUAUGUAAAGCUCUAUCAGUAGGGAAGAAAAUGACGGUACCUGACUAAGAAGGCCCGGCUAACUACGUGCCAGCAGCCGCGGUAAUACGUAGGGGGCAAGCGUUAUCCGGAUUUACUGGGUGUAAAGGGGGCGUAGACGGUGAAGCAAGUUUGAUGUGAAAGGUCGGGGCCCAACCCCGGGACUGCAUUGGAAACUGUUGAACUGGAGUGCAGGAGAGGUAGGCGGAAUGCGUGGUGUAGCGGUGAAAUGCGUAGAUAUUAGGAAGAACACCAGUGGCGAAGGCGGCUUACUGGACUGUAACUGACGUUGAGGCUCGAAAGCGUGGGGAGCAAACAGGAUUAGAUACCCCAGUAGUC